rnacentral:misc_RNA from 1 species
ACAAUGAAUGAGAUCGGUGGGGAUACAUUUGUCUUGUUGCUGAACUCAUGCGUUGUUAUUGGAGUUAUAUUUGUGUUGACAACUCUCUUUGCCAAACGCUUCAUUGACAGUUCCAUCACGUUGAAGUUGGUAUCUUCUCUGAAGAUUGUUUUUGCUUUAGGACUAUUCACGGCGCUUAAUGGCAUACUGGUGGUGUUCGCUAGUCCGCCUGAUCGAACACCUGGAUACUUACAGGGCAUUCUGUCAACCACUGUCAUACCUUACACAAUAUUGUGUCGACUGAUAUUCCUGAGGAAAGGUAUAAGUGCGGUUCGAACACUCUGUACUUGUCUAGUAAUGGCGGGAUUGUUUAUUACCGCCGAGCCUCAGAUAUUUGGUAUUAACACUGACGAUGACUCGAACACUGCCAAUGAGUCCACGUCUGCAAGAAUACUAUGGCCGCUGUGUUUUGCUUUGGGUUUUUUGCCUAUUGGACUAAUGAAUGUCAUUUGUGAAAAAGAAUUAAAAAGUGGCGAGGCAAAAUCAUUCAACUUUAUAAUGUGGUCCCAAUUUGCCCAAAUCAUAUGUAUGGUGUGUCUAUUUUGGACAGACUUUAUUCCAGGAUUUGGAAUGGCGGGAUCUUUUUCCGAGUUUUCAGACAGAUACAAAAGGGGAACAACUUGCUUGGUUAGCACUAGCUCUGACUGUAAAGGCCUGGUUGGAAAAUCGUGGCUGUUUUUCGGAGGAUACACCUUCGCGAAUCUCUUUCAGUUUCUUCUCAUAGAAUAUGCUGAGGGAGCUGUUUUUGCCGCAGUCGUACAGUCGCUUGUUGGCCCAACGGCAACGAUAUUUUGGACGUUCUUCCAAUUCAACGAAAAGGAGAACGUGUUUAGAUGGCAUCCAGUAUUUAACGAAACAACAGUGUUCACAAUUGUGGGUUUACUACUGAUGGUACCCGGUGUUAUGUUAUACAAUUACUUCAGUAACAAGGAAGCCAAAGAAAAAGUGAAGGAAGGUAACUUCCUAUACACAGACCCGAUACUGACUGUCAAUGCUAAGGAUUAGUGGAACUUUACCAAAUGCAAGCUGUAUCAUACUGACGACGCUGGUUAUAAUCUGAGUCAGUUAUACUGAGUUAUCCUUAAUUGUUUUUGAUAAGACAUAAGCUAGCAUGACACUCCGGUAUUUUGAGGUGUGAUCAGAAAAUGCAGAUAAUAUAACCAACUACCCGAUUAUUUCAUUGCUUAAUAUUCAUCUUAACAUUUGUUUUGUUGUAUGCGGUAUGAAAUUAAAUAAAUGCUUUGCUAGUAC